GGCGUGGUGGCUGAGCGGUAAAGCACUUGGCUUCUGAACCGGGGACCAGGGUUUGAAUCCUUGUGAAGUCU
rnacentral:tRNA from 1 species